AGUCUCUGCUUUUAACUAGAUAGCAACUUUCAGCAGUGGAUGUCUAGGCUCGCACAUCGAUGAAGAACGCUGCGAACUGCGAUACGUAAUGCGAAUUGCAGGAUUCAGUGAGUCAUCGAAAUUUUGAACGCAUAUUGCACUUUCGGGUUCUGCCUGGAAGUAUGUCUGUAUCAGUGUCCGUACACUAAACUUGCCUUUCUUGCGUCGUGUAGUCGUCGCUGGGAAUGCGCAGAUGUGAGGUUUUGUCUUGCUCUGGCUCGAAUUCGUUGGGCAGGAGCAAGUCCCUUUAAAGUCGGACGUGUUUUCUCUCUGCGGUGUGCUGUGUCGGCGCUGGCGGCGCGUGGGACUCUCUUGUCUGUUGACGAGUCUGGCGACCUUUGGCUCGUGCAUUGCGGGGUGUGCUCGAUUGGCGGUAUGUUAGGCUUCGGCU
rnacentral:rRNA from 1 species